UUGCUAUGGGUACCAUAAGAGACAAAAGAAUUUUAAAAUGUCUGUACUUAGUGUUCCAACUAUAAAAAAAUCUGAAAGGGGCAAAUAUGAAUAUCGGUUGGACAAAGAGACGGGAAAACUGAUUUGUCAUUUUGACAUUUAGUAAAACGUUUUUUUUUUAGAAAGUUCGCAGCGAUCAGAAUAUAAGUUUUUGCCGUGUAUCCAUAAGGGGUAAAAAAUUGUACUUUCCUUGGUUGGCUUAAGGUAUUGACAUAGCUAUUCAGAACACAUGGCAGUUAGUCAGAACAGAAGAUCAGCAAGUGUUUCAACUUGAAUGUAGAAGAAACAUAGCCUACAACAUUUUGGAAUCGUUCUAGAAGAAGACAAAAUGGGGACCAACAAGGCAAAAUCCCAGUGCCAUAUAAAUUUAUUUGAACCGUUAUCAUAUAAACGAUUCAACCGAUUUUUUAGAGAAGAGCAAGACAGAAGAGCGAUAGAGCGUUACUGUAGGUUAAAUAGAACUUAGUCUAAUCCAUUAUUUAGAUAAGUAUUUUUCUUGUAUAUAUAAUAUUUUAUUUAUUUUUUUUUAAUUAAUUUUUUAUUUAAAAAUUUGCGUUUGAUUACGAGUGCUAGUUUUGGCAUUUUUUUAUUCAACAUGUCAAAUGUCUAGUAAAAAUAGUAGGUAAAAGAUCGCUUGAAACUUCCCCUUCCAUUCCAUUCGAAGACCACGCACGGAAAAAAUUGGCGGCGUGGAGGAAAAAUGGCGCAGCGUGGAAAAAAAAUGCGGAUACGUGGCGUAGCCAGACGAGCCAAAACGGCAUAAGCAACUUAUACGGGGCGCAGUCAAAAGGACGGUGCAAAAAUGCUUUAUUUAACGUAGAAUUUAUACAGGAUGUACAAAGAUGCCAUAAAAACUUUAGAAUCUCAGAUAUUAUUGGCUUCUUAUCAGACAAACGCCAUUGUGAUGAGUAGAGUUUAUUCAGGAUGUACAAAGAUGCCUUAGAACGUAUUUUUGGUCAGAUUGGGAGAAACGCCAUUGUUUAAGAUGCAUUUUAUCUGUGGAGGAAUUUAAUCUCCACAGGUAGAAUUCUGAUAUUCAGCAGUGUGCCACAAAAAGUAUGAAAAA